CGCCAGAGCAAAUCAAGAGUAAAUAUCCUUCUGAGACCUGAUCUGAAUGGCAUAUGAGAAAAGCCAUUUUUGUGUCUACAGAAUGGGAAUUAAUGACCAUGUUUUUUUCAUUACUAGAUUGAUAAUGGUCAUAUAAUCCCACAUUCAAGGACCCUGAUUGCAUAUUCCACUGAAAUCAGCUUCAAGAUUUCCACUGGUUCUGGCCAGCUUUCAGUCAGCCUUGCAGACAGCAAACAGGCGGAGGGAAAAUGGUCUUGCCAACUGAUUUAAUUCUGCCAGAUCUGAUCUGAUUUACAGCUGCAAUCAGAUGAGAUAUUUUCCUGACAGAAGAAAAAGUGAAUACUUCCCUCCAACAUGAUUCAUUUGGGCCUGCAAUGGAGAAGUAGAAAUCAGGCAUUACUUCUGAGAAUUUCUUAUGGGUCCUGUCAAGAAUGCCGUUAUUUGUGAGGCAUCCAUUGGUGCUGUGUACUCCAGUUUGAACACUCUAUAUUUGACCGGAAUACCUCCAUCAGGUUUGUGGUAACCCAAUACUGGAUGCUGAGAACCCUUCAUUGACCCACAUUUCUUUAGAACACUGAAGAGGCUGGAUAGCCUUAGAGGACUGCUCUCAAACGUUUUAUGCAUCUAAACAUACGCAGAGAUGUGGGAGGCAAGUCCAUCCUGCCGUGAGUACUUGUAGUAAUGCUGAAUGAAAAACCUGCCAUUACAGCAACCUCUGAGGAAUUUGUUCAUCAAGCUUCUCAGACUUGAGAAGUCCCUAUAUAUACUUGAAACAUGGUCUCAGUACAGAGGUCACCCAGGUAGCACAUAUGGGGAAAAGAACAUAACAGACUUCAUUUCAACAGCCCACAACCACACAGUUGUUUUUAAAGAGCCAAACUUGGCGAACAGAGAUUUUAUAACACUUGUUGCUGGAAAAAACUGAGAGGUUUCAAGUACACAAAGCUUUUUCUGGGCCUUCAGAAAAAAAUCCCUCAAAAUAAAAUCAACAUCAGUCGACAUUAUUACUAAAUUGUUUUACCAUAUGUGUCAAUAUGUGGCCUCCUGAAUGUUUAUGAAAGGCUAACUCAGUUGUUUACAGGGAAGAUGGCUGUCACUGUCACAGGAUGCAGUUCAAUGGAAAUUCUCAGUGGAUGUAUUAGUGUGUGAAGCCUCCUGAACCUGACUUUCCUCCAUACCUUUAAGUUUCUACCAUGUAUCAGCUGACUCCGUUUAGCAUUGACCCCCAAAUUUAACAUGAUCUAUUUUAUCCGCUUUGCAAGAGACUAGGAAUGCUCAUGGAAAUUACAAUUACAUCUCAGCAGAUUUGUGGAAAUUUCCAGCAGCCACUUUUAAACUAUUUUAACUCAGUAGCUUGCAAUUAUCAGACCAUAUUCAGCUUUUCUGCCAGCAGAGCCUGUCAUUGAACUUCUUUUGCCCCUUCUGCUUUCCUAGUGGAGCAUGCAAGCAUACUGCAAUGGUAAAUUCACUGCAUUUUGUAAAGCAUCUUAUGAAGCUCUUCUGAGAGAAGAUACUACAGAUGUGGAAAGUGUUCUCAUUGGAAUGUCACUUUUGGUGGGCAGAACAAUUCUGCACAAAGAAAUUUGAACGGAGGAGCAGAAGUGUCAGAAGGAAGGUAGACAGCUGCCAACACAACCACUUCCAAAUUGCUCUUCUAAGUAAGACAAAGACGGUAAUUUCUUUAAAUCAUUCCUCUCCUAGAGAACUCUCUGCUAUUGCCAUGUAAGAACCUUAAGGUUAUUACGUUGAUAUGUAGGAACCUAUGGAGCCUUCAGCUCAGUCCACAUGGGCCUAAUGGAUGAUUCUGCCCUGAAGGGGAGAGUCCAUCAUUUCAUUAGGAACUUAGAAAAAAGGCCGUAUUUGAUGGCAGUCCCCUGAUGUCACUUGUAGUUAAUCAAUUGCCAUAUGUGUCAAUCAGGCUAGGUUGAGCUACAGGCAACUCUUUUUAUUUAUGGCUAAGAGACUGGGAAUAGCCUAUGCAGCUGGGAAGCCAAGCAAACCCAAGGAUUUUCCACAAGCUGGCAGUCAAGGAGGCAAUUUAUUGAGGGAGAAACCCCAGAGCAAGAAAUUAAAAAAAAAAAAAAAAGCAGUGAUAUGUUUUACAUUACAGAAUUUCUCUUGGUAUGGGUAUCAGCUUCUGAAUAUUUCAGCAACAUUGCAUCUCAUCUCUCAUCUACAUAUCCAUUGAGAAGUGUUCAGCAGAAAUUGCCCUUUGUUCUGCAGCACAGAAUUAAACUGACUUGCAACUCACUGCCAUACUUGGGCCCUGAAAACUGAAUACGCUUUGUGAUGAUUGUAAAAUGGUCUAAUCCUCACUCUUGUCAAACUAAACUGCAGGAUUAUCAUAUGAAACUUUUUCAAAUGUCCAGAUUAAUCACACAUGACAAUCAAUCUUUUAUUCUACCCAAUAGAGACAAUCUGUUUUAUGCAUUUUUGAGGGUAAAAGGGUUAUUUAGCAAUUGAAUUCUAUGAUUUGUGACACUUGUUUUGAAUUACACAUCAUCUUGUCCUGGGAAACCACUAAAAGUAAGAUGCAGCGCUGUCUCCUCCAAAGGCAUCUACUUUUGCCUUCCUUUUGUGCAUGUACAUAUUUAUAUUUACAUAUACAUAUCUAUAUAAAGGAAUAUAUUCUUACCUGUUUACUCAUCUAAGCAAUAGGAAGUAUGCAACACAUUUGACAUUGGCUUGAUGUGAUACAGAGUAAGUUAGAGCUAUGUGCUGAUGUCCAGAAUGAGGCACUUCCAACUGUUCAUUUCAAUGGUUAUAUCAUCACACUGUCAAUUGCAAAAAUAUAAGGUAAGUGCUGCUUGUAUUUUAGAUUGAUCUUGCUUUAGAAAUACGAGUGACAGUUCCCACCAUUAAAAUAACAGGUUUCUAGAUAAACACUAAAUUCUCCAUGUACUGAGGGCUGUAUCUUUAACUUUUAGGUUAUACUGUAUGGUACAGUUAUAAUUAAACAUGCUAAAAUAAUGAUGGGAACAGUUGCCUAAGUUUCUAAAGACCAUUUUGAUUCACUAGUGUCCCAGAUACUUUUUCCACAACUGUGUAGCCCGUGUGCUACAGAGCAAACUCUGCCCAGCCUGGCCAAGUCAUGGCUUGAACCCUUCUGAAAAGAACCUCGGAACUAAGGAUAUUUAUAUACUAUAUACUAUGGAAUUAGUUACUGUAUGCAUACCAUGUUUUAACAAAUAAACUGCAUGUUGUUUGACUGGCUGCUAGACUUCUGUUUUUUAAUUUAUUUAAAUAUAUGCUAUGACUCACCAAAACAAUGAAACCUAUACCCAUCUGUAAAUUGUUUAUCGUGUGCAGUUAAAAAGGCACCUUCAACAGUUUUAUAGUUUAGAAGUCACUAAAUAACUGUACAUUGAAAGCUUCAGACCAACAUAUCACUUAAGUAUGAACUGCUCUUUAACCAUGUGAACAGUCCCAUCAUGGGAACAAACUAUUCCAAUGUUAUUGUUUCUAAGUUUUAGUGGUUUAUUGUGACAAAGACUCAUGAAUCACAACAAAGGUCGUAGAACUUCUACUGGAUAAUUAACACCUCCCUAAAAACAUUUAAGGCCAUUUUGCUCUCAUUCAGACAGUAUACUUUUAGAAUAUGGAGUGUGGUUUAUUGCAACAAGGUCCCUAAAGAAAAAAUGAAAACAUAUUUAAACAUUUGUUGUAGGUUAUAUGAUGAGAACUGCCGAGAAGACAAAAAGGUUAUCCCUAGACAAGGGGCUGAAAACCUUAACAAUCUUACAAAACACUGUUUUCUCCUGAUUUUUUUCCCCAUAACCUCAUUUUCUACCCCUUGUUCAUUUCUCAGUUGUUGAAAGAAAAAUACAAAAGAAAUCUUCAUAUAGAUAACCAGUAGGAUGCCAGAAAGGGCUUUUUUCAGUCAGAAAUGGUGUAGUACCCUCUGGAUAAUCAAUUGUCCCUGCAACACUUUAGGAUUUUUCAUGCACUGAGAUGCAAACUGAGCAAUGUCUCCAUUUUUUUUUCCCCCUGUAUAGUUUGUUAAUACUGGAAAGGCAAUUGGACAGUGGGGCCUCCUCAUUCUUGGCUCUAUUUCAAAAGCAACUUGAAAUGCCCUGACAGCAGUUCUUCUCACAAAGUAACGUUAAGGUUGUGACACGGACCAACAAAAGCCUGACACACUGUCGUUAGCUUACCCUGUUGUGCUUAGGUAACGGUGGAGCCUCAGAUCUGUGUGUGAUGUUAGCAUUAUAUGUUCUUCAAUAACAAGGCACCAGAGGACGAAUUGAACGUAGAAUGUCGUCUUUAACUUUGAAUUCCUAAGUUUAGGCUACCUUCUUUCUCUAAUAUUAAAGACCGACUCUGCAUUAAUUAUACAAACCCAUUGAUAAUAAACAUAUUAGUUCCUCAGAGAUGGUUAGUACUUAAAUGUAAUAUUUUCAAAAUGAGUAUGUUCUGCAAAAAUGCAGCAAUAAAGUCACUGAAGUGUUCUUUUACACAGUUAUUCUGAUGUAUUAAAAAUCCUGGCCAUAAGCUGGCAUCCACAAUCAAAUUUCCCACCUGUCCAGCAGUGUUCAAAACUGGGAUUUUGUUCUAAAUACAUUUCUGGUUUUAACUAACCAAAAACCCACCAUAAAUUGUUUCCCUUAUAAAUUUCAUGGGACAGUUAAUCCAGAUCUGGAAUUUUGGGACUGAGUUUCACGACAGCCAUGGUAAAAUAAUAAAAAUAAUUAGAUCGAGUACAGCACAAGUAAUACCCUCAUAUUUUUGUAAAAUUGGCUAAUAUCAAUCACUGUGUAAACCACUCCUGCCUGUUACUGCUUAGCAGUUUCCAGUGUCUGUAAAAAGAGAACUCACAUGUUUCUUUGUAAAGCCAAAGAAAAAUUGGCUCCUCAAAGAUAACAAAUUCAGUAUUUUUACACUCUCCAGUUACUUUAAGUCAAAGUAUUAACUGUGCUUCUCUUCUUACAUUCACUGUGUUAGUGUGUUAAAGGUUUUUUCCCCCCCAAAAAAUCUUAACUCUUAUUUUUCAUGUAAUUAUAUAAACAUGCUCAAGAAACACAGUUUUGCAAGCUUUUAGCUGACCUGGUUGCUUUGAGACUAGGAUCACAUGCAGACCUAAAAUUUCUGGAUCAGAAAAUGAUAGCUAAGCAUAGUACACCAGCGUGUUGUUUUUCAGAAAGGGGAAGGAUGCCAUUCAUUUCACUGCCUGGUAUUAGGUGAUUUAAUAGCCGUUUGAGGCGCUGUGUCUGGGAAGAAAAAGCUCCAAUCUUUCAGAAUCACUUUCAUGGAACCUUUCUUUCUUCUUGUGUUAACGUUACAUUAUGUGAAUGAGGUAUAAGCUUUAAUUCCUGGAGUAGGUACUCAUUGUUCAGAAAAUUUGUGGGCAGAACAAGGAAAAUUUGCUUUGUGAGCUCCCUGUGGGAACCAAAUGACAAGCUCUGUCUUCUCCACAAGAGGAAAUAGCUGGCAUGGUAUUAUCCAGUUCCUGAGACAACAUUUUUCACCCUUUUAUCUCUUUACCCCUUCCUCAGAAAUCUUGCCCAAUCUAUAGCAAGCAUCUUUCAUCUUUGACUCUUGAUCUUAAAGCAAUUGAAAAUAAAUGCUGUUAAAAAGAAUAUCACAGAGUAUCCUGUAGGAUUCAGUCCUUUAAGAUAGGGUCAUCCUGGGGGAGAUGAGGGAAUUUUCCUUUUUGCAGGGAAAGAAGAAGUUAGGUUGGAAUUUGACAAAUAUUGACAUCUGCGUCUGUGCAGGUCCUCUUUGGCUUCCUUCAUAGUCAGUGGAGAGAAACUGGCACUUCUGGCCUGCAAUUAAUGUAAUCCUUGGGUAGAGGUCUCAGGUAAGUGAAAUGAAUUCUCCCUUUCCAUUGCACCCUGGGACAAGUUCAGAUUAAUUCAGAUCCCACCUGAAGUUAGGUGGAUAAUUUCCACCCUUAAAGUCUGCCCUAAAAUCACCAGCGUUAAGUAGGGACUUCCAAAGUUGUCACAGAUAACUUUGCAGGAAUUAUUAUUUUGCACGUAAAUAACCUUGAACUCACAUAAAUUUCACCCUUUAAUGGUACCAGUAUUCAAAAAUAGUUCCUCAUAUAACUUGACCCCCUCAGAUAACUGAGUCUAAAUCAGACAUGGAUGUGGUGGCUAAUCAGCAGCACAGGGGUUAUUAAGGUAUAUGAAGCAUAGCACAGAGGUUUGGGGAAAAGGACUUACUGGGUAAAAAAACAAAACCAAAAAAAAAGAAAUACGGUCUCCCUUCAUCAUAUUCAUUGUUGCUUAUAAUCAUCUCUGCUGAAGCACAGAGUCUUGCUUGUUUGUUUUAUAAAUAACCCCUGGUUCGUGCAUAAGAAAAUAUAUUAAGUAUUCUAAGAAUGAUGCCUUUUCUUCUCUGUGUAGCAGAGAGUCAGGGGUCAAAUUCUCAGCUGCUGUAAUCCCCUUUGGACUUAUUCUCAUUCAUUAUUGAAAUGGGCUAGAUCCUGGGCUCAUGUAAGCUGGCGUAGCCGUAUUGAAAUCAGUGGAAAUGCAUUGUUUUUUCAGUAGAUGAAAACCUGGUCCUUGAAAUGCAGUAAUUUUGACUGAGCGUGCCAGGUCGAAUUAUUUUCAGUAUUUAGCAAUGUCUGGCAUUUUCUUUAUGAGACUAUCUUAUUGCCAUUCACUGUACCUAAAAAAAAAAAUCCCUACAGUAGUGUUAGAACACUGAGUGGCAAAACAACAGCCUCAGUAUCUGUUGCCCAAAAUGAUUUAUAUACUAUAGUCGUCUGUCUGAGGAUGAUGUUUUGCCACACAAAACAUCACUUCUGUUGUUUAGUAACAGCAGCAGAGUCCCUGGCACAAUUUUUAAAAAUCUUUUUUAACAUUAAGAGGCACUACAGUGCGCAGAUCAUCUCAGUGGAAUAAUGCACUGGUGCAGAGGAGCACUAAAUCAAAUGAUAAAUUGAGUGUAACAUCGAUUAUGUUAGCUAUGCAUAGAAAUAUAUACAUUUGAUGGUCAUUAUGACACAUGAAUGUUCAAGACGAAAAGUGAAAAAUACAUUUCAAAUUCUGUAUAUGUGAAAAACUGACAAUGAUCUGUAAUUUGCGUCUAGCAUUAAAUUCUAUAAAUCUGCUGGUGUUUUCAACAUUGAAAGCCUGAUUCUAAAUGGAAAGGUCAUUAUCAUUAUUAAGUUUUAUAAGAAAAUCAGUACGUGUACUAGUAUCUAUUUAAUAACUGAGACAUCAUGAAUGUCAGACUUAACACACUUUGCUGGGUGCUAAUAACUCUUUAAGUGUACCCUUGACUCGAGUCGAAGGCAGUAUUGGAAUUUUUAUAUUAUCUGAACUGCCUGAUAGCAUUUAAAAGUACUUCCAUAAUAGCCAGGUAAAAAUAUAGUGACUUCACACAACUUUACCUAAUUUUGCUCCUGUUUUAAAGGUUAAGCUAAACUCCUUGCUCCCCCCUUGUAUAAGAACUGGCUGUGCAGGCAGCUGAGUCACAACGGACCUGUCCUACUUAACCAUUCCCUCAUUUUUAUUGGAGCAUAUUGUGCUUCCUGAGAAAAGUAUGUGUCAGUAAUGACAACAAAAUGAAGCCUUUUGUACCCAAAAUAAGUGCCUGACAAAACAAUAUUUGCAUCAGUGUCAAAAUUGCUUUUUGAAAUGUCUUGGUGGAACGGCGCUAUCUAAAUAUAAAAUAUGUAUUUAUUCAGCAUUUUUCAAACUUUUGUAAUUCCCGCAUUAUAUUAUCUCUAAUUCAAGUCCAGUGUUAAGUUGAUACAGCUUGUUUCUUUUUCUAUUAUAUAUUUAAAUUAAAAAUUGGAAGAUGUAAUUUCUAUUAAUGAGUUUUGUAGGGGUCUUUUAGUAUUGUGUCCCUAGGCGAGUUCCUUACUUGAUAUGAAGUCCUCAUAAGAGGUGCUUGUGCACUUGAUUAAUUCAUAAAUGGUGUUGAGGGCUGCAUAUUUGCACAAUUCUUGUUAAAUCAUGGAAGUCUGCUAUUUCUCUGUACAAUGCAUUGCCAAUCGUGGUGCUCAUAUUAUGCACCUAAUCACAACUCUACAAGUCCCAUAUUUUCAAAGUAUUCUCAUCUAUGAAACAUUCAUCUCCUAUGGUAAAGGUCAAGGUCCCUUGGCAACAUUUAUAACAGUUCCAAAGCAAAAUAGGCAGACAAAAAGAAUAUUCAGUUUGCUGAAAAAGUGAGAUCAACAAAAGCAAAUGAGUAGCCAAAAAUAUCAGAAAGUUUCAUAACACUGAAGAGAGCUUUUAGCAGAUAAUAUUAAUUCAAUAUUGAUCUACAUUAGAUAUGACAAUACAAAAGUAUUGAUAUCUGUAGAUAUUUAGUCAGGCAUUGAGAUGGGAAGUAAGGCUAGUUACAAAUGUCUAUGAAGGUUGCAAUACUCUUUCCUGACUGAUAAAAUGUAAGUCUACUGGAAGAAAGACCAGGAAAUACAAAUCCAGAAGUUUCUUCCAACUAAUUUGUGUAGACAAGGUACAGUGUUUUUUUAAUGAAGCCAAGAGCACUGACCACUUGCCAACAUCAUCUGAGAAUUCACCAGUAUGUCAGGGCUACAGUUAACAAACCAGUUUGCCAGGAUAUUGAGGGAAGGGAACAGAAAUGGGCAAAAGCACUGCUGUAAUAUGCUCCCCUGAAAGCCAGAGUGUUGUUGGCUAGCUAUUGCAAUAUAAAAUUGGACCUUAUUUAUUUCUGUGCAAACAAGAGGACAGUUGUUAAAUUAUUUUGCUAAACACACCAUUCAUUUGAAGGACACAGCCUGUUCUAUAUUGUUACUGUUGAUACUGUAGCAGGAGCUCUGUUCUACAUGCAGACUUUUUCUUCAAGGCAGUAAGCCUUCAAUUUUCUUUUCAUUCAUGAUCUAGAAGACAUUAUCUUGCUCUCUAACCUUGUGGCCAAAGACCUUUACGUCAGAGAAGGAUACCUAAGGUUCUCACCUCUCAUCUGCAAAAUAUAUCCACUUUAUGUUGGUAUGGAUUUUUUUUUUUAAAAAAGCAUAAAUUAUUCUUAAGGCACAAAUAGAAAGCUAAGUUGAUGGGUUGAUUAUUAGUUUCUAAUGCUUCCUGUUUUGUCUUUUUGGCCAUUCACUUCUUUUAAUGUUAUUAAAGGACAGGGACCUCAAUAAAAUAUGGGAGCACCUCAGCAGUAUUUAAAUGAAAGACACAAGCUUAGCGUGGCCAAGAUUGCAAGUCAUUAUAUACCAAUGGGUUAGACUACCUUGGAAGUAUAUUUCUAGAUUAUGCCAUUUAUCUGUCUCUUCUUUUGUGGUUAAAAUAUUUAAUUUUGACCUUGGUUUUAAUCUGGGAUUGGUUUCUUUUCCUGGUCUAAAUAAGCACAGGAGAAUUUCACAAAAUACAGAUUUCUUUCUACUCCACUUUUCAGCCACUUGUCAAACAAUGGGAUGGUCAAUGUGCUCAGCUUAGUUGUAAAUAUUGCUAAAAAACGGGAAAAGUCCUGGUACUGACAGCACUAAACUGAAAAAACCCUGUAUUAAAUACUUUACUUUGAAGAUCUAAAACAUAAGCAAGAUCAGUUAAAAAGUAAAAAUAAAAUAAAAAAUUAAGCCACAACAGAAAAAUGAAAUUGAAGUAGACCCAACUCCUUGUGUCAGAAAAUGUGAAAGCCAACUGAAUAGUAGAGGCUACAUUCAGGUAAAGUCUUAAGGAUGGACCUAACUUUGAGCUCGUGAACAGCUGUAUUAACUCAGGUGAGACUGCUCAAUUGCUUGGAGACUUGUGUGUGAAUAAGGUACUUCACUGAAUCAAGGCCAUUGUGCAAGAAGAAUACAGUGUCAGUGUAUAACAACCAUGCUCCCCAGGAAGGAAAUUUUUUGUGUGAAAAAGAACUGUUGUUAUAGAGGCUGCGUACGAUCAGGCUGCACAGUGUUCUUUGUUUCAACCCACUAGGGUGCUGUCUUUUCCCAUAUUAUUAUUAUUGCAUGCUCUGCAGUAAUUUAACAUCUCAGAAAGCUAAUAGUUCUCCUUAAAUUGUAGCCUGCAUACCAUUACUGAUAGUUACAGUAGAGUGCAAAGUCUAUUUGCACACUACACAUCCUAUAGUGGGUUUUUUUUUCAAAUCAAAGAACAUCAGUGGAAAAACACUUUAUGCCCAAUGUCUCAGAAGUACUGGAUCAAAUUCAGCCUCUGAGGUAUGCCAAGGAAAAUCUCUUUGCAGCUGAUGGGUGAUGCUUCUACUUUUAUCAGUAAUGAGGUACCAAAUAUAGUUUAUUGCAUAAAUAGCACCAGAGAUGCUUCAAAAAGGGACAGAGCACAGUCCCUACUGUAUCUGCUUUGUGCCACCUCAGCAGCAUAAAGAAACUUAGUUUUGUGUAGGAGCAGUAGUACACAGUGAGGUGUAUCUGGCAUUACACUGGCAGCUUUACAUCCUGUCAGAAAACAGAAUUUAAUAGGGGAACGUGUUGGUUGCGGCUGGGGUAGAGUUAAUUUUCUUCAUAGUAGCUAUUACGGAGCUAUGUUUUGGAUUUGUGCUGUGAACAGUGUUGAUAAUACAGGGAUGUUUUAGGUACUGCUGAGCAAUGUUUACACAGAGUCCAGGCCUUUUCUGCUCCUCAUACUGUCCUGCCAGCAAGCGGGCUGGGGGUGCACAAGAAGCUGGGAGGAGACAUAGCCGGGACAGCUGACCCCAACUGACCAAAGGGAUAGUCCAUACUGUAUGAUGCUAUGGUCAGCAAUAAAACUAGGGGGAAGGUUGGCCUGGCAGCUGCUGCCUGGGGACUGGCUGGGCAUUGGUCAAUUGGUGGUGAGCAAUUGUUUUAAUUUGCGUCACUUGUCUUUCCUGGGUUUUAUUUCUCUCGCUUUGUUAUUUUCCUUUUCAUUACAGUUAUUAUUAUUAUUGUUAUUUUUAUUUUAUUUCAACUAUUAAACUGUUCUUAUCUCAACCCAUGAGUUUUCUCACUUUUACCCUUCCAAUUCUCUUCCCCCAAUCUUGCUGGGGGUGGGGAGUGAGUGAGUGGCUGUGUGGUGCUUAGUUGCUGGCUGGGGUUAAAACAUGACAGUCCUUUUAGGAGCCAAUUGUGGGGCCGUAGGGUUUGAGAUAACAACAGAUUGACCAAAGCGUAUUAGGAAGGAUUUAUAUCUGUUAACAGUUGUGGGUCAUGAUAUUGAUUCAUCUGUUCUCAAUAUCAGUUUAUCUAAUCUGUGCCAUGCUCUUUAUUUUUCUGUUCAUGUUAAAGAUUGUUGUUGGCUUUUGCAGUUUGCUGUGCUCUGAAGUGAUUAGCGAUGUUUUGCCUGGAAAAUAGUUCAUGCAAUAGCACUUGGGCCAGUCUGGACAGGACAAGAUAUGAAAGAUGUGCUUUACAUCUCAGCCAUGGAUAACAGCCCCACCUGAAGCCUCUGGCAAAAAGUACCAGGGGACACCUGAGGUUGACCUCUAGGGUUUCGGUGAUGGGGAUAUAGGGGAUCUAAAGCCCAUUACACUCCAACUGAAAAAUACUAGCAGCAUAGGAAGGAAUUCAAGCUGCUUCAGAAAUGGUUGGUACUGAAGCACAGCUCUUUUUCAUACCUCCAAUGCCUGUGCUCAGCUGGAUGUUCAAAGGGAGGAUCUCCUCUCUGUAUCAUGCAACUGAUGCUACAUGGAGUAAGUGGGUCAUGCUGAUAAUGUAACAAGGUCGAAUGGGAAACCCCAAGCCUGGAAUCAUGGAAGCGAUCGUGGGCUGGCCAGAGGGACAAAAUUUCGGAGCAUCACCAGAGGAGGUAACCCAUGCUGAAGAGGCCCCUCUGUAUAAUAAAUUACCAGAAAAUUAAAAGCAAUAUGCCCUGUUCCUAGUGUAUUGUGGGAAAACAUUGAUGGUAAAAAGCUGCUGUGUGGAGUCCUAUACAACAAGUUGCAGAAACUGCUGAAGGAGAAGGUGAAUUGAGUCAGUUUGCAUAGGAGGUGAAAGCCAUCCAGCUGGCUUUAGAUAUUGCUGAAUGAGAAAAAUGGCCAGUACUGUAUCUGUAUACUGACUCAUGGAUGGUGGCAAAUGCUCUGUGGGGGUGGCUGCAGCAAUGGAAGCAGAGCAACUGGCAGUGCAGAGGCAAACCCAUCUGGGCUGCUGAAUUAUGGUAAGAUAUUACUGCCUGGGUAGAGAACUUGGUUGUAAAGGUAUGUCACAUAGAUGCUCACAUACACAAGUGUUGUGGCACUGAAGAACAUCAAAAAGUGAACAGGUGGACCAGGGUGCUAGAAUUGAAGUAGCUCAGGUGGAUCUGGAUUGGGAACAUAAGGGUGAGCUAUUUAUAGCUCAACGGCUCCAUGACACAUAAGAACAUUUAAGAAGGGAUGCAACAUGCAGAUUGGCUCGUGAUUGAGGGGUGGAUUUGACUAUCGAUGCCAUUGCACAGGUAAUCCAUGAAUGUCAAAUGUGUGCCAUAAUCGCAUAAGCUAAGAGGCUAAAGCCUUUUAGGUAUAGAGUAUGAUGGCUGAAAUAUCAAUAUGGGGAAGACCAGCAGAUGGAUUAUAUCACACUACAAUGAACCCGCCAUGGCAAGCACGCUGUGCUUACAAUGGUGGAAACGACUACUGCAUGGCUGGAAACAUACCUUGUGACCCAUGCGACUGCCUGGAAUACUAUCUUGGGCCUUGAAAAGCAAGUUUUACAGCAACACAGCACCCCUAAAAGAACUGAAUUAGACAAUGGGACUAAUUUCUGAAACAACCUCAUAAAUACCUGGGCCAAGGAGCAUGGCAUUGAUUGGGUGUACCAUGUCACCAGCCUCCGGGAAAAUUGAAUGAUACAUUGGACUGUUAAAACUACACUGAGAGCAAUGGGUUCUGGGACAUUCAAGCAUUGGAAUACAUAUUUAGCAGAAGCCGCUUGGCUAGUUAACACUAGAAGAUAUGCCAGUUGACCUGGCCCUUCCAAAUCAAAACUCUUGUGCACUGUGGAAGGAGAUAAGGUCCCUAUAGUACAUAGUAGGGAACUUUUUGGGAAAGCCAGUUUGGGUUAUUCCUUCCUCAAGAAAGGGUAAACCUAUUUGUGGGAUUGUUUUUGCUCAAGGACAUGGGUGCACUUGGUCGGUAAUGCAAAAAGGUGAGGGAGUUCAAUGUGUACGUUAGGGGGAUUUAAUCCUGGGUGAAAAUAAUCCCUGAUUUGAGUUGCAUGUUAUGGGAAUUACUAUAGCAGGAAGCCCUUGUUGUUAGCCAGGCUAGGAGGACAGGGAGGAAUUAAUUGAAAUGUUAAACCCUAUAACCUGGCCCAAAGGGACCAGGGUGGAGACUAUAAUGAUAUACCUUUAAAUUUUAAACCAUUAUUUGAGUUGCAUGUUACAGGAAUUACUACAGCAGGAACCACCUGAGCCAAUGGAGGAGAAGCCUUACAAGAAGCAGUGCCUGUGCAGCAGGGACUGAACUGAACUGGCUUUGGUGUCCAGUAAUUCCACACAACACACCACAUCUCCUGUCCUGAGUGACCACCAGAACAGAUGGAGCCCAAAGUCAUGGACUGAAUUAACUCGAUGGAUAUUUUGUGGGCAUUUGUGGACAUUCUACAGACAUUUCACAGGGGUGGUCCAUAGACUAAGGGAAUGAAAUAUGUGUUUUGUAUCAAAGGAUGGGAAGGUGGGUGGUGAUUAAUGGGGAUGUAUUGGAUAGUGUGGGACCUGAGCAUGACAUAAAUGGUAUGGAGUAAGGAGUGGAGAAUGUGCUGGUUUUGGCUGGGGUAGAGUUAAUUUUCUUCAUAGUAGCUAGUAUGGAGCUAUGUUUUAGAUUUGUGCUGUGAACAGUGUUGAUAAUACAGGGAUGUUUUAGGUACUGCUGAGCAAUGCUUACACAGAGUCCAGGCCUUGUCUGCUCUUCAUACUGUCCUGCCAGCAAGCGGGCUGGGGGUGCACAAGAAGUUGGAAGGAGACACAGCCAGGACAUCUGACCCCAACUGACCAAAGGGAUAGUCCAUACCAUAUGAUGGUCAGCAAUAAAACUAGGGGGAAGGUUGGCCUGGCAGCUGCUGCCUGGGGACUGGCUGGGCAUUGGUCAAUUGGUGGUGAGCAAUUGUUUUAAUUUGCGUCACUUGUCUUUCCUGGGUUUUAUUUCUCUCGCUUUGUUAUUUUCCUUUUCAUUACAGUUAUUAUUAUUAUUGUUAUUUUAAUUUUAUUUCAACUAUUAAACUGUUCUUAUCUCAACCCAUGAGUUUUCUCACUUUUACCCUUCCAAUUCUCUUCCCCCCAUCUUGCUGGGGGCAGGGAGGAGCGAGCAGCUGUGUGGUGCUUAGCUGCUGGCUGGGGUUAAACUACAACAGGGAAACAGUCAAAGAUGCUGUUUUACUGCUUUACUGUUUUACUGCUACUUCUUAGAGCUACUGUAGUA